rnacentral:lncRNA from 1 species
UGAAAGGCUCCAAUCAUGCCUUUUCCAUUGUCUCACUGACACAUGCAAGAUCUAGAUGUCAAAACCAGAAAGAGAGGGUGAGAAUUCCUUCAUGCAUACAGGCAGCAAAUAAGGGUACAGAUCAGGAAUAAGAUGUCACAGCUGAAGCCAAACUGAGGAGAGCAGAGUCAAAUUGAUGCUGGCAAACUCAUGAAACAGCCUACAAGAAAACUUUCCGAACAAGCAUUAAAAAGUCCACUCUUUUAUGUUUUAAUGGACAAGGAAGUUUUCCAGUUACCUCAGCUUUUUUCCAAGCCCAGUGGGACCAAAGUUUGGCAACUUUAUAAUAUCAGAGAAAAGAAUAAUGUUGCAUGUUUUGCAUCAGGUGUCAGCAUUGUAGUGUUCUCAAGGAACAAUGGGGACAACAGGCAUGCAUACCA